CCUACGGGAGGCAGCAGUGAGGAAUAUUGGUCACUGGGCGCGAGCCUGAACCAGCCAAGUCGCGUGAGGGAAGACGGUCCUAUGGAUUGUAAACCUCUUUUGUCGGGGAGCAAAAGACGCCACGCGUGGCGUUCCGAGAGUACCCGAAGAAAAAGCAUCGGCUAACUACGUGCCAGCAGCCGCGGUAAUACGGAGGAUGCGAGCGUUAACCGGAUUGAUUGGGUUUAAAGGGUGCGCAGGCGGAAGAUCAAGUCAGCGGUAAAAUUGAGAGGCUCAACCUCUUCGAGCCGUUGAAACUGGUUUUCUUGAGUGAGUGAGAAGUAUGCGGAAUGCGUGGUGUAGCGGUGAAAUGCAUAGAUAUCACGCAGAACUCCGAUUGCGAAGGCAGCAUACCGGCGCUCAACUGACGCUCAUGCACGAAAGUGUGGGUAUCGAACAGGAUUAGAUACACGAGUAGUC
rnacentral:rRNA from 1 species